GACGAACGCUGGCGGCGUGCUUAACACAUGCAAGUCGAGCGAAGCGGCGGACGGGUGAGUAACACGUGAGUAACCUGCCUUAGACAUUGGGAUAGCCUCGGGAAACCGGGAUUAAUACCAAAUGGUCUAAGAUGGACUCGCGUCCCAUUAGCUAGUUGGUGGGUAACGGCCCACCAAGGCGACGAUGGGUAGCCGGGAGUGGAGGGAGAACGGCCACAUUGGAACGGAGAAACAGUCCGAAAGCUGCGAGAGGCAGGAGAGGGGAAGAUUGCACAAAGGAGGGAACUCUGAUGCAGCGACGCGGCAGGAACGAAGAAGGCUUUCGAGUCGUAAAGUUCUUUUAUAUGGGAAGCGGUACCAUAAGAAAAAGCCCCGGCUAACUACGUGCCAGCAGCCGCGGUAAUAC
rnacentral:rRNA from 1 species